rnacentral:misc_RNA from 1 species
UUUCCGUAGGUGAACCUGCGGAAGGAUCAUUAAAGAGUAAGGGUCUUCGGGCCCGAUCUCCAACCCUUUGUUUAACUACCAUGUUGCUUUGGCGGGCCCGUCUCACGACCGCCGGAAGUUUGGCUUCGACCAAACUUCUGGCCCAUGCCCGUCAGUGGCCCCUUCAAAUUCUUGAUCAAGUAUGAUGUCUUAGUUAAAAACUUAAUAGUUAAAACUUUCAACAACGGAUCUCUUGGUUCUG